rnacentral:lncRNA from 1 species
GACCUGUCCUUGCAUGUAAAACUUUCGGGACUCUUUUCUUUUUUUUUUCGAAAAAAACUAUGGGGAACCUUCGCGCGGAAUCUGAUCUAGGGCGUGCAUGCCUCCGGUGCGUUCUGGGUUGUUCGGCUCUGCCUGCCUUAGCCAGAUCUGCUUUGGAGGUUUGCUAAUUCAACGAAACAGAGACGAGCUCGAUCGCUCGAUCGCUCGAUCCCACGUAGAGAUGGGGUGCUGUGCUGUGUGUAUCUUCUUAUGUAAGAGUCUAGCUGUCUAGCUAGAGAGAUUAAUUGUCGUGUGCCCGACGAUUUCCCGGAAAUGUGAUUCAAGUUUGGUACGCUCGACUACAUGCA